rnacentral:lncRNA from 1 species
GAAUGCUUUUUAAAACCUAUCUAAAAGGUUAGUACAAUGAUAACACAAUUAGAGAUUAGAAAUAAAUAUACAAGUUUGCGCUCAAUUUUUUAAACUGUUAGGGUACAUGACCCCUAAAUACUGGAAAUAUCUACCCUAAAUUAGCACUGUUUUCAAAACUCAUUUGGGUCUCAAAUUUGCCUGGACAUUGGAUGGAGUAUGAACCUAUCUAUAGCAAAUUUGCAUGUAAAAGAAUAUGAACAUGAAAUUCUGCAUGUAAUUUAAGGGGAUUCCAAAUGAUCCAACAGUACCCAUGGUCUCAGUUAUAAAACCUUAAAAUGUUUUUUCAAACAAGACAUACUACAAAUCAAAAAUUAUCUUUUAUAUAUUUCCACCUACAAAUAUUCUACUACAAAGGAUUCUUGUGAGGUUAUCAAUUAGGAAAGUCACUGAAGAUUCUUAGGUUAGUUUGGUAUAUAUUUGUACCUCUGUAUUGCUUUGGUAAAGGGAAGGCAGAUAAGAAGAGCCAGAAGCCAAACUGUACAACUGGAUUAUUAAUUCUUAUAUUAUUAAUUCUUAAUGAUACAAGAAAUACUAAAAAUACUAUCUUCUGGGGAUUCCUGGGUGGCUCAGCGGUUUAGCACCUGCCUUUGGUCCCGGGAUAGAGUCCCACGUUGGGUUCCUGGCAUGGAGCCUGCUUCUCCCUCCUCCUGUGGCUCUGCCUCUCUCUCUCUCUUUCAUAAAUAAAUAAAUAAGUUUAAAAAAAUACUAUCUUCUCAACUUUUCAAAAAUGUGAACCUGCAGUUUACAAAGCAAUCAUUACCUAUAUUACCUAGAAACGUCAUCUCUAGAACUAUUCAAGUUUAGUUGCCAAUAUUUUGUCUUUAAAAGGGUGGCUUAAUAUCUGAAUUCAAUACUCAAAAUCACCACCAUUCUGUUUAAAGUGGUCUUACAAAGAAAUGACCAGGUUUAUUGUACACUGGGCUGUAAUGACCAUUAAGAAAAGCAUAGUGAGCUAUGGCACAUGUACAGCCAUUCCAUGAUACUCCCAGUUUGGAUCUGAAGUCCAUAAAGUCCUAGAAAGGUAAUACACAAAGAGAGCUGAGAACACAAAUUUCCUGAUGCUCAGCAUCAUAACACCUGUCUCAGAGUGAUACUGUCAAAUAUGGGGGGGAGGGCGGCAGCCAAUAAGUACAUUAAAAGAAAAGGUCUCCCUUAACUGAAAUCUUAAAGCAUAACUGUAACAAGACUACAUGAUACCACUUUGGAUGAAAUUGGUCCAUUUUUUAUUUUAAGAGAAAACUGCAUCAAAACUACACAAGUUUAUGCGGAUUUUACCCUCCCUGCCAGAACUAUGCACUGUUGAGAGUGAAAAGACGGCUCCUCUAAACUAACACCCUAAUACUUUUCAUAUAGUCAGAAAUGUAAACACCCAUUAAUACCACAUAUGCUUUUCUGAGGACUUUUCUUAAAGAAUAAAACAUUAAAGAUAUGGAAAGCCCAUUCUUAACAAUUAUGUAACAAUGCACCUAACAUUCUCCCCUCUUGGAGUGAGAGAAGGUAUCCUUUUCCAGUGACUACACAAGUCUACCAUCAUCCUUACAUUACAUAUAAUUUGUAUUAUGUAAUACAGAAAUUAUAAUAGAAGUACAUUCUAAGAAAGAAAUGUAUAAAAUAUAGAUUAUACUUCAGCAAGCAUGAGGGGUGAGCAAUACUCUUAGUAUUACUUAGUAAUGGUUCAUAUUGAAAAACACCUUGCCAGAAAUAAUGUAAAAGGUCGUGUUUCCUCUGAUGUACAUUCCCAUGGUAUCAAACCCUAAAGGAGCCACACUUUUAUUGACACGCUCUGCAGUGGGGUUUCCCUUCCAAGGAGCGUAUGUUUUGAAGUCUGAGGUAUGGAAAUGGGAGGAUAUCCAUGUUAUCAAACAUUACCAUCAGAGCCAGCUUAUAUACAAGAGCGCUCACAACUCAAUCUGAUCCUUUGCUUUCACAACGAAGACACAGACCACAAUACUGGCUGCUAAAGCAAUAAAUAAACCAAAUGGUAUCAUUAUAGGCAAUUCACAACAAUGAAAAUAUGUAACAUAAUCCUUAGUGAAGUAAUUUUAUUUCAAUGUUAACUAACAGGUUUUCUUUAAGCAACAAAGAAUUUAUCUUCAGGUGCCUGUGUGGCUCAGUCCGUUAGGCGUCCAAGUCUUGAUUUUGGCUCAGGUCAUGAUCUCAGGGUCCUGGGAUGAAGCCCUGCAUCGGGCUCCUCACUCAAGUAGGGAGUCUCCCUGAGCAUCCUCUCCCUCCCUCUGCCACUCCCCUGGCUUACUCAAGCACACAGUCUCUCAUUCUCUCUCAAAUCCUUAAAAUAGUAAUGAUAAUAAAUCUCCGAAGAGUAUAGGGAAAUACUGUGUGAUUAAGUGAAUAACAUACCCAAAAAUAUUAGGCCAAAAAUUCAAAAGCCAUCAUCUCCCAAGGAAACUUGAGUAAACACCCAUGAAAGAGGCAAAUCUCUACAACAAUGGACAAUACGUCUACAAGUUCAUCUUUUUGAUGUAAUACAAUUUCAAGUGAUGAACAAAUGGAACAAUACAGUCCAUUAACUGAACAGUUAGUUGAGAAAAAGACACAAAGUUUCUCAACAUUUAAAUUUUCACUGACUCUUUUGGCCUGAAAAUUGGCAAUAAGGGGCUCCUAGGUGGCUCAGUCGGUCGGGUAUCUGACUCUUGGUUUCAGCUCAGGUCAUGAUCUCAGAUUGGGCUCUCUGCUGUGUGGAGACUGCUUGUCCUUCUCCCUCUGCUCCUUCCAUUAGUUCUCUCUCUCACAAAUAAAUAAAAUCUUUUCUUUGUCAGUAAAAUAUAGCAAACUGAGGGCUUUUUGUUUUUUAGUCAACCCGUGUAUCUUCUACCUACAUUAGCCUGCCAGACAUCAUAAUAAAACUUAAAUUAUAUAACACCUAUUUUCCAACUGAUAUUUUACAAAAAGCAAAAGUCCAUAAUAUGAACAUUCAAUUCUGCAUUCCCUUAUCAUCUGGAUUUCCAGAAUUCUAAUCAAGAUACCCAAUUUUUAAAAUUUUUUAUACUUUUUUCCCAAUUUUUUUUAAAUCAUAGGUUAUACAUAGGUCAAUGAGUUUUACAAUAGACAAGUGAUGAAACCACACAGCCUUAUGAUAGUCAUUCCCCCCUUACCCCCAGGUUCACUUUCUGCAGUUUCAGUUACCUAUAGUUAAAGGUGGUGUGGAAGCAGGUGACCCUCUUCUGAAAAGUCAGAAGGUUGAUAAUAACCUAAUGCUACUUCACCAUGUCUACGCUGUUCAUCACACUUCGGCUCAUCACGUAGGCAUGUCACAUCAUCACACAAAGAUAAUAGUACAGUAAAACAUUGAGACACCAUACUCUAUAUAAUUUUUAUUACUGUAUAGUUAUAAUUGUUCCAUCAUUAGUAAUUGCUGUUAAUCUCUUGUGCCUAAUUUGUAAAUUAAACUUUAUUACUGUUACAUAAUACAGGAAGAAACAGUUAUUUUUAAGAUUUGGUUUAUUUUUUUCAAAGAUUAUUUAAGUAAUCUCUACACUCAACAUGGGGCCCAAACUCACAAACCUGAGAUCAAGAGUGACAUGUUCCACAGAUGGAACCAGGCAGGAGCCCCAGGAUUUUAAGUUUUUUUAAAUUAAAGAAUGAGAAAGAGAUUAUUUUAAAGUUCAUAUAACAACUCAAAAUUAAGAAAUAAGUAUCUAUAAAAAGGUUGUGUUUGAGUAAAUAGGAUAUAAAUAGUAUCAUUUAUAAAUACAUAAAGAUUUUAUAAAUCUUAUUAAAUAUAAAUAGUAUCAUUUAUAAAUACAUAAAGAUUUUAUAAAUCUUAUUAAAUAUAAAUAGUAUCAUUUAUAAAUACAUAAAGAUUUUAUAAAUCUUUAUUUUUUUCAGCUUUAUUGAGGACAACUAGGUUUUUCAGGAAAAUAAAUUGAUACACACACACACACACACACACAAACACCAUCUUUUUCUCCAAAGGUCAUAACAUUUACUUCCGUUAUCAAAGAAAUGUAAAAUUCAGCAAAGACUCAAAUGAAAUCUAAUAAAGUACAAAUUGAUGACUUUUAUCAUACAGAAUUCAUGACGUCUAAGAAAAGUUGUAACUAACUCACAGUUUCAAGGUCUCAGACCUGUAUGUAUUUGCAAGGAACUGGGAUGAUGUCAACAAUGACUUGGGACUGAAAGACACCACUGAAAUAUUUCAAACUUAAUUUUGUCCCCAAAUUCCUACAAAGGCAUUUUAAUUAAAAAAAAAAAAAAAAGAGAGAGAGAGAAAGAGAGAGAGAAAAGAAAAGGGAAAAAAAGGCAGCAUUAUCUUCUUGUGAUCACCUAAGAUUUCUCAAGCACUCCUUCCCCAAAAGCCAAAGAUAAUGUAUCUGAUCACUGCAUAAUCAGAGUUAAGGUUUUUAUGUUUUUUCUUUUAAAGUAAUCUCUAAGCACAACAUGGGACCCGAACUCAUGACCCUGACAUCAAGAGUCUGAAGUACCCCAAAGUUAAGUUUUAAAACAAGCUGCAGUACAAUAACAAUAAAUUGUACUUUCAGUUCAAGAUAAAAGAUGGUUAUUAUGAACUUACCUGUAUGGCUUCCACUAUUUAAAAGUUCAGUAUUUCAAGUAAAUUAUUGCCACAUCAAAGAAUCCAUUAUUUAAUGUAUCGACCAGUUCAUAUAUAAUGAAAAAGCACUGGAAAUGAAUUAGCAAAUAAUAUUCAAGUUUAUUUUUCACCAUAUACUUAAAACCAUACAAAAUAACAUGUUACUUACUUUGAACAUAAAAUCAUCUUAAGAGGAAAAACAUUUCUUGCAGAUUCCAUCUCAUGUUCAUACACAGUAAAUAUCAAGUGGUUACACUGGGGAGAAAUUACUCAAACAUUAUGUAAGUAUAAUCUGCACUAUUAUGUGUUAUCUAUUUAAAUUUAUUUAAAUAUAGGGUAGAAAACAGGUGCUAAACUAAGUCAUUGAUGAAAAUACUUUGUCCCGGACAUGUAUGCCAGGAUGGCUGGAUGCCAACACAUGUUCUAAAAAAGGGUUUUGAAAAGUCUAAAAACAGACGAGUUAAAAAAUUUUUGUCACAUUUUAAAAAUGUGCAAAAUUUCCUGUUUGAUUACCACCAGCUAUAAGAAAUCAGGCUGUAGAAACAGAAAACACAAAAACAAAGCUUAAGAAAAGUCAUUAAAUCUCAUUUCUCAACUUUUUAUGCCUCCACAUCAUUUGUUAAUACAACAUACUCUUAUCAGCAAAAGCUCCAGAUGCCUGUGCUGUCUCAUCAGAGCCCAAGAGGACUUCACACCUCUCCUUGGCAAGGAAUUACAGGGUCUGAAUGGUGUGUGAAUCUCAGAACUCCAUGCAAUUCCCGGCAGUCCCAUUUUAAAACCAUAUUUGCUACUCAUGUUAUUUGCCAUUUUCAGUCACCAUCAGGGUUUGUUAAACAUUCCCAGUAAUUCUGCAUUCAUUAUAUUCAAUUUUGAGACAAAACUGUGAGGUAUAAUAAAAUCUCAUUUGGGUUCUGCUAAUAACAUUCAGUAUGAUCUUGGAAAAACAGCCUGUUCACUAAUUCAACAAACCGCAGUAAGUACCUAUAGGAGAGUCCUGAUGCCUUAGGGAAUUCACAAUAGUAUCCCUCAAUAUCUUGGAGGGCCCAAGAUUUGCCUAUUAGAUAAGAAUCAUUUAAUUCUAACAGAAACUUUAACUGAACAUGUUCAUAGACUAAUAAUCACCACUAUGGUAGAACACAAACUAGGUAGGUUUUUAAAAAGACUCCCCAGUAAAAAGUAUGGACCAAAGGCACAAAAUAUGGCAGUACAUUCCUAUUAAGGAAUAAAAAACAAAACUGAUAUAAAUCUGGAGUUUUGGUCAUUCUAAAUUCUGUGAUUUUUUUAAAAAAGAUUUUAUUUUAUUUAUUUAUUCAUGAGACAGAGAAAGAGAGAGGGAGAGAGAGAGGCAGAGACACAGGCAGAGGGAGAAGCAGGCUCCAUGCAGGGAGCCUGACAUGAGACUCGAUCCCAGGGCCUCCAGGAUCAGGCCCCAGGCCGAAGGUGGCGCUAAACCACUGAGCCACCCGGGCUGCCCAAUUCUUUUUGAUACUAAAAAAUAAACUUCAAAUGGUAACAAGAGGUUUAAAAUCAGACAAGUUUCAUAUUUACCAAGGGUCAUUUAUUUCCUUCCUUCAUUUCAGUGGGUUCUAUAGGCAACCUGUCUUUGUAAUGUGGAGGGCACACUGUUCCCCAAGCUUUCAACAACCUCAUAUGUAGACCUACUUUAUAACCAUUAAUGCUACAUCCAUUUAUUCUCUCUUCCGUCUUUUGUUCUUUCUACUCUUCCUUAUCUCUUUAUAUUAUAAUCUUUGUAGAUCAAGUACCAUUACCUUUCACCUCCCCUUACUGGUCUAAUUGGCUCGCCUUUUUAUUCUAGCUCUCCUGGAGUCAAAUCUCUAUGAGUGGCUAAAACGCUUUUCUAAUACAUAAACUAUAUCAUGUCACUACCUGGCCCAAGCCUUUAUGAUGAUUUCUCAUCAAGAAAAAAAUCUCAACUAUUUACUGUGGCACACACUACUCUACAUCUUGCGUUCUCAAUGGGGUAGUAUUGCCCCCAGAGGGAGAUAGUUGAAGGUGGGAGCAGGGGAGGGCAAAAAUCUCCAACAUAUAAAAGCAUAGAUAACAGAUAUAUUUAUAUAAACAGUUGAGUUAAAAUUUCAUGAAGGGGGGGGUCAAAAAAUUUCAUGGGGGACCUGAGAGGAAUCAAUGAAGGGAAAAAAGGGGGUUAAGAAACACCCUUGCUUUGUUCACUGAAUUCCAGCAACAUUUUCCUACCCCGUGCU